GGGACCUUAGCUUAAUAGGUAGAGUACCCGAUUGUCAAUGGGGUUUAUGCUGGUUCGAAUCCGGUAGGUCUCG
rnacentral:tRNA from 1 species